rnacentral:rRNA from 1 species
UACGUAGGGGGCAAGCGUUGUCCGGAUUUAUUGGGCGUAAAGAGCGUGUAGGCGGCCAGGUAGGUCCGUUGUGAAAACUGGAGGCUUAACCUCCAGCUGUCGAUGGAAACCAUCUGGCUAGAGUCCGGAAGAGGAGAGUGGAAUUCCCGGUGUAGAGGUGAAAUUCGUAGAUAUCGGGAGGAACACCAGUGGCGAAGGCGGCUCUCUGGACAGGACCUGACGCUGAGACGCGAAAGCGUGGUAGCAACAGG